rnacentral:rRNA from 1 species
GGAGCUUGCUCCUUAAAGAUAGUGGCGGACGGGUGAGGAACACGUGGAUAACCUGCCUUAUACAAAGGGAUAACUUCCAGAAAUGGGCGCUAAAACCUUAUAAGCUCACGGAUUGGCAUCAAUCAGUGAGAAAAUAUUUAUAGGUAUAAGAGGGGUCCGCGUCUGAUUAGCUAGUUGGAGGGGUAACGGCCCACCAAGGCGACGAUCAGUAGCCGGCCUGAGAGGGCGAACGGCCACAUUGGGACUGAGACACGGCCCAAACUCCUACGGGAGGCAGCAGUGGGGAAUAUUGCGCAAUGGGGGAAACCCUGACGCAGCAACGCCGCGUGAAGGAAGAAGGCUUUCGGGUUGUAAACUUCUAUCGACGGGGAAGAAAAAAAUGACAGUACCCGAGUAAGAAGCACCGGCUAAAUACGUGCCGCAGCCGCGGUAAUACGUAUGGUGCAAGCGUUAUCCGGAAUUACUGGGCGUAAAGGGUGAGUAGGCGGUCAGCUAAGUCAUAUGUGAAAAUCCAGGGCUCAACCCUGGACCUGCAUAAGAAACUGGCAGACUGGAGUGCAGGAGAGGUAAGCGGAAUUCCUAGUGUAGCGGUGAAAUGCGUAGAUAUUAGGAAGAACACCAGUGGCGAA